rnacentral:rRNA from 1 species
UACGGAAGGCAGCAGUGGGGAAUAUUGCACAAUGGGCGCAAGCCUGAUGCAGCCAUGCCGCGUGUAUGAAGAAGGCCUUCGGGUUGUAAAGUACUUUCAGUCGUGAGGAAGGUGUUAAGGUUAAUAACCUUAGCAAUUGACGUUAGCGACAGAAGAAGCACCGGCUAACUCCGUGCCAGCAGCCGCGGUAAUACGGAGGGUGCGAGCGUUAAUCGGAAUUACUGGGCUAAAGGGCACGCAGGCGGUUAAUUAAGUUGGAUGUGAAAUCCCCGGGCUUAACCUGGGAAUGGCAUUCAAGACUGGUUAGCUAGAGUCUUGUAGAGGGGGUAGAAUUCCAUGUGUAGCGGUGAAAUGCGUAGAGAUGUGGAGGAAUACCGGUGGCGAAGGCGGCCCCUGGACAAAGACUGACGCUCAUGUGCGAAAGCGUGGGGAGCGAAACAGGAUUAGAUACC